GAUGAACGCUGGCGGCGUGCCUAAUACAUGCAAGUCGAGCGAACAGACGAGGAGCUUGCUCCUCUGACGUUAGCGGCGGACGGGUGAGUAACACGUGGAUAACCUACCUAUAAGACUGGGAUAACUUCGGGAAACCGGAGCUAAUACCGGAUAAUAUAUUGAACCGCAUGGUUCAUUAGUGAAAGACGGUUUUGCUGUCACUUAUAGAUGGAUCCGCGCCGCAUUAGCUAGUUGGUAAGGUAACGGCUUACCAAGGCAACGAUGCGUAGCCGACCUGAGAGGGUGAUCGGCCACACUGGAACUGAGACACGGUCCAGACUCCUACGGGAGGCAGUAGUAGGGAAUCUUCCGCAAUGGGCGAAAGCUUGACGGAGCAACGCCGCGUGAGUGAUGAAGGUCUUCGGAUCGUAAAACUCUGUUAUUAGGGAAGAACAAAUGUGUAAGUAACUAUGCACGUCUUGACGGUACCUAAUCAGAAAGCCACGGCUAACUACGUG
rnacentral:rRNA from 1 species